CCUACGGGUGGCAGCAGUGAGGAAUAUUGGACAAUGGACGCAAGUCUGAAGGAGCGAUGCCGCGUGCAGGAUGACGGCCCUAGGAGUUGAAAACUGCGUUUGUACGGAGGUAAUAUCAGAUACGUGUAUCUGCGUGAAAGUAUCGUACGAAUAAGGAUCGGCUAACUCCAUGCCAGCAGCCGCGGCAAGACGGAGGAUCCAAGAGUUAUCCUGAUUUAUUGGGUUUAAAGGGUGCGGUUGCGGUUUUAUAAGUUAGAGGGGAAAAUUCGGGGCUGAACUCCCGACAUGCCUCUAAUACUGUAUGACUAGAGAAUAGAUGCGGUAAGCGGAAUGUAUGGUGUAGCGGUGAAAUGCGUAGAGAUCAUACAGAACACCGAUUGCGAAGGCAGCUUACCAAACUUUAUCUGACGUUGAGGCACGAAAGCGUGGGGAGCAAACAGGAUUAGAUACCCUAGUAGUC
rnacentral:rRNA from 1 species